AAAGUCUAACCUGCCCUAUGAUUUAUUUUUAAAUGGCCGCGAUAUUUUGAUCGUGCAAAGGUAGCAUAAUAAUUAGUUUUUUAAUUGAGAACUGGUAUGAAUGGUUGAACGAGAAAAAAACUGUCUCAAUUUAAGUUAAAUUAAAAAUUUAUAUUUAAGUUAAAAAGCUUAAAUAUUUUUAAAAGACGAGAAGACCCUAUAGAGUUUUAUAUAAUUUAUUAUUUUAAAAAAUUUAAGAAUUAAAAAUUUAAUUAUAAUGAAUUGUAUUUAGUUGGGGUGACUAAAAAAUUUAAGAAACUUUUUAAAAAUUUAAACAUUAAUUUAUGAAUAAAUGAUCCA
rnacentral:rRNA from 1 species